rnacentral:rRNA from 1 species
UACAGAGGUCUCAAGCGUUGUUCGGAUUCAUUGGGCGUAAAGGGUGCGUAGGUGGCAAGGUAAGUCGGGUGUGAAAUCCCGGGGCUCAACCCUGGAACUGCACUCGAUACUGCCAUGCUCGAGUACUGGAGAGGAGACUGGAAUUUACGGUGUAGCGGUGAAAUGCGUAGAUAUCGUAAGGAAGACCAGUGGCGAAGGCGGGUCUCUGGACAGUUCCUGACGCUGAGGCACGAAGGUCAGGGGAGCAAACGGG